UACGGGGGGGGCAAGCGUUGUUCGGAAUUACUGGGCGUAAAGGGUGCGCAGGCGGUUCUGCAAGUCAGGCGUGAAAUCCCCGGGCUUAACCUGGGAAUGGCGCUUGAAACUACGGGACUGGAGUAUGGCAGAGGGAGGUGGAAUUCCACGUGUAGCGGUGAAAUGCGUAGAGAUGUGGAGUAACACCGAUGGCGAAGGCAGCCUCCUGGGCCAAUACUGACGCUCAUGCACGAAAGCGUGGGGAUCAAACAGG
rnacentral:rRNA from 1 species